CAGAGCAGGUCCUGGUCGGUAGUCACUGCUGUGGUGUCUGGAGCCUCUUCUUCUCUCUGGUAUCAGCCAUUAGCAGAGCCCUGUGGCCCCCAGGAUACAUUACUACCGACCCCGUAUACAGAGGAUAUAUACAUAUAUAUAUAUAUAUAUAUAUAUAUAUAUAUACAGCCCUUGCUGGUUGUGGCCCCCAGUUCUGGGGACUGAGGAGAACAUUCGCACUGUGGCCCACGAUAGAAGGUUCCUGUAAGGUGUCAGGAUGUGGCGGUCUAUUUCUCCAUGGAGGAGUGGGAGUACAUAGAAGGACACAAGGAACUGUACAAGGAAGCCAUGAUGGAAGCUCCCCGACCUCUGACAUCACCAGAUGGAUCCAGGAGCAGAAAUCCCCCCGAGAGAUGUCCCCAUCCUCUGUAUUCC